rnacentral:rRNA from 1 species
CGGACGGGUGAGUAACGCGUGGGUAACCUGCCUCAUACAGGGGGAUAGCAGCUGGAAACGGCUGGUAAUACCGCAUAAGCGCACAGUACCACAUGGUACAGUGUGAAAAACUCCGGUGGUAUGAGAUGGACCCGCGUCUGAUUAGCUGGUUGGCGGGGUAACGGCCCACCAAGGCGACGAUCAGUAGCCGACCUGAGAGGGUGACCGGCCACAUUGGGACCGAGACACGGCCCAG